rnacentral:ncRNA from 2 species
GGUUGGGCGAUAGCUUUCAAGGAUGAUUCUUCAAGGGGUGAGAAGAA